UACGGGGGGGAGCAAGCGUUGUUCGGAUUUACUGGGCGUAAAGGGCGCGUAGGCGGUCGUGACAAGUCACUUGUGAAAUCUCCGGGCUUAACUCGGAACGGUCAAGUGAUACUGUCGGACUAGAGUACAGAAGGGGCAACUGGAAUUCUCGGUGUAGCGGUGAAAUGCGUAGAUAUCAGGAGGAACACCGGUGGCGAAGGCGGGUCUCUGGGCCGAUACUGACGCUGAGGAGCGAAAGCGUGGGGAGCGAACAGG
rnacentral:rRNA from 1 species